rnacentral:rRNA from 1 species
AGCCAUGCAUGUCUCAGUACAAGCAUUCUUGUACCGUGAAACUGCGAAUGGCUCAUUACAACAGUUAUAGUUUAUUUGAUCGUGCGGAGCUACGUGGAUAACCGUAGGAAUUCUAGAGCUAAUACAUGCACCGUCGCCGAGGAUCUUUGGUUAGACCUCGGCGGGAUUUAUUAGAUCAAAAACCAAUCGUUUCUCCCGUUAUUUCGGAGAGAGGCGUGGUGGGAUGAAUCAUAAUAACUUUACCGAAUCGUAUGGCUUAGAUAAGGCCGACGAUAAAUCAUUCAAAUUUCUGCCCUAUCAACUUUCGAUGGUAGGGUAGUGGCCUACCAUGGUGUUGACGGGUGACGGAGAAUUAGGGUUCGAUUCCGGAGAGGGAGCCUGAGAAACGGCUACCACAUCCAAGGAAGGCAGCAGGCGCGCAAAUUACCCAAUCCUGAUUCAGGGAGGUAGCGACAAGAAAUAACGAUAGUGGGCUCGUUCGAGUCCGCGCAUCGGAAUGAGGAUAAUUUACACCCCUUCUCGAGGAUCCAUUGGAGGGCAAGCCUGGUGCCAGCAGCCGCGGUAAUUCCAGCUCCAAUAGCGUAUACUAAAGUUGUUGCAGUUAAAAAGCUCGUAGUCGAAUGAAGGUUUCUUGAAUUGCGCGAACUUCUAAGUGUAACUUAGACUAGUUUGCGCACAAGAACCUCCCUUAUGUGUCUUAAUAGAUCCAAUUUAUUUUUGGAUCUAAUCAGUCACAUGCAUUACUGUGAACAAAAUAGAGUGUUCAUGGCAGGUCAAUUUAGGCUUGAAUACCUCAGCAU